ACUUCCUCCUUGUGCCCCGAAGGCCAGCCCGGCACUCAGGCCAGGGCACUUGGACACCACGCUGCAGGAGGCUGGUCUCGCCCAGGCCUCUGUGGGAAGGGCCGCCAGGCUGAGUGGAGGGCCAGCCACCAGCUACGGUGUCUUCCUUCGCAGGUCUGUCCCCCCAGGCAGAAGGAUUCCAGCCCAGGGAUCCCCCAUCCCACCCUGACUGCAUCCUGAGAAGGGGGGACGCCACUUCGGGAAGGUUGUUGGGGCAGCACAGGCCCUGGGGCCCUGCUCUGUGACCUUGGGCGGCCCCCUCUGUCUCUCUAGGCCUGUAUGCACCACUGGCAAAGGGGGCAGGGCCCAAGUCUACUCUAAAAGCUCCCCUUUCUCUCCAGAAGCUUUGGAGUCUCCCAAAAUGCCUGCUGGGUCUCUGCAGGACUGGCACCUGUCACCGGAACCUGUCUGGGAGGGACGAGAACACGCUUUGCAAGAGGAAGCUCUGCCUCACAGAGCCCUGGGCUCACUCAGGGACCCUGGCCAGCAGCUGCUUCCUCUCCCCACAGCGGAGAGAGACCCAAGGGUCCCAGGGCGGAUGCUUCCCACCAGGCCAGCCCAGCGUGCAGGGUGGCCUCGUAAGUCCUGAUUGACAUAUGGACAGUGGUUCAGAGAGGUUACGCUACUUGCUCAAGGUCACCCAGCUCCCAGGCCCCUGCUGUCUUCCAGGCCACUGAGGUCCUAAGCGUCCUUCCAGGCGAGCCACUGCUCACAGCCUGUUCCUCAUGUUCUGCGGCAGGUUUGUGUAUCUACAUCUUUUCCAGUUCCCUGUCGUCCCCCUUCCUACACCUCGUCAUCCACUAUCCCUGUUUGUUUUCUCUGUUCCUUUCUAGUUCUCUACCUGCUCCUCUUAUUUUUAUUUGAGACAGGGUCUUUCUUUGUCACUGAGGCUGGAGUGCAGUGGCACAAUCCCAGCUCACUGGAGCCUCGACCUCCCAGGCUCAAGUGAUCCCCCGCCUCAGCCUCUUGAGUAGCUGGGACCACAGGCAUGCAUCACCACACCAGGCUAAUUUUUUAUUUUUUGUAGAGAUGGGGUCUCACUGUGUUGCCCAGGCUGGUCUUGCACUCCUGGGCUCAAGAGAUCCUCCCACCUUGGUCUCCCAAAGUGCUGGGAUGCCAGGUGUGCACCGCCAUCCUCGGCCUUACUCUUCUCUUCCUCUCUCAGCCCCUCUGCCUCACUAUCCCUCUUUCUGUGCCCUCCCCCACACAGCCCCCCACACUUCUUCUUAGUCUCAUCUUCAGCUUCCCAUACGAGGCCAUCCUCAUGAAAUCAGGCACUGGGAGGUCCCUGGGGACUGACAAGUGCCAGCUGUCCCUUGCUGUCUCUCUGCCCCAUGGCUGCAGCAGGGAGGGUGGGCAAAGGGCAGAGGUGACAGUGGCCAAACCUGAAACUGAGGCCCAGCUCUGGUUGGGAAAGAAACAAGGAAACAAAAUAACUUGGGGACAGAGGGCGUGGGGUCAUCAGAGCGGGCAAAGGCUGCCCAGGAGUUGUAAAUCCGAGCCGCUCCCGGCUUUAUGAGGCCGAUUUGGGGUUGAGCCUGGACUUUGCCCAGGAAGGAGUGCUGGCAGCACACGGGGCGCCAGGUGUGGGCCCCGGAUGAUAAGAAGCCUCGGUGAAAAGACCAUGGACCUGGGGCCACGAAGACUGGGGAGCCCAGGUGAGUGGGCAUGGGACACUCUCCAGAGCCCUGCCGAAGGCGGACGCCAGGCAGGGCCCCGGUCUCCAAUUGGUUCCCGCCCCCUGUAACAGCAACUCCAUGUGGAAGUGCCCACUGGUUCCAGUGGGGCUGCUGUUAUCUGGGGCGAGGGCCAGUACCCACGAAGAAGGAGAGGCAGGUGCUGGCCAGCAGACCAGCCAGGACUACCGUGGCGACGCUCCCAGGCCAGAUGGUGGCGGGUAGUGGAGGGCUGUCGGUGGGCUGCCGAGACCGAGUGCACAGGGCUCUGACCUAUGAAUUGACAGCCAGUGCUCUCGUCUCCCCUCUGGCUGCCAAUUCCAUAGGUCACAGGUAUGUUCGCCUCAAUGCCAGCCACCAGGACCUGCAGGGAUAGGGGAGGGCCGGGGGUGUCCAGCAGUCAGCAGAGAUCCUGCGACCCCAGUGCAGCACUCAUGGUCCCACCUCCCUCUGUCUCAUUCCCCGUGAAUGAGCCUGAACAGCUUCAGUCCUGCCCCUGCCCUGCCUGCCCUGUGGCACCUCUAUGCUUUGCCCAUGCUGUUCCCUUGGGCUGCAAUACUCUUCCUAGCUUAUUUGCCAGGCUCACUCUUACUAACCCUUUCAAGCUCUGUCCAAGCAUUUGCUGCCUCCAGAAGGCCUUAUUGAAGCUUCUAAGUCCCCACCUGGGCACCCCCACACAGUGCUGCCGCAGAGCACUGCCCUCUCGGAGCCCCGGUGCUGGUUUCUGCUUAUGUCUCGCUCCUCUCCCCAUCUGUGAGCUCAGUUCCCAGCCCAGGCGCGUGCCCAAUAAAUGUUUGCUGAACCAA